rnacentral:lncRNA from 1 species
CUGACUCCUUCCCAGAUCUUCUUGGCUUAGCGGCUGAAGACUGACGCUGCCCAGUCGCCUCGGAAGCCCCCCUACAUCAUGGACGCUGAGCUUCAGAUAACUCUCACAGUGGAAGUUUGGUCCAGAGAGCUGCCUUAGACUCCCCAGUAAAUCUAUUCAAACAGCUGCCUCUGUUACCUUGACUCGUCUCAGAUGUCAUCGACCUGAGAUGGCUCCUGGCGCAAGGAAGGGCAUUCCAGAGUCAACCUAAAAAUCAAGUUCAGGCCAUGAUGGAAGAGACGGAGUUGGACAUGCC